rnacentral:rRNA from 1 species
GGGUCAGUAGGUUGGUCGUGGCACCGGUACGUACUGGUCUCACUGAUUCCUCCUUCCUGAAGAACCGUAAUGCCAUUAAUUUGGUGUUGCGGGGAAACAGGACUGUUACUUUGAAAAAAUUAGAGUGUUUAAAGCAAGCUAACGCUUGAAUACAUUAGCAUGGAAUAAUGAAAUAGGACGACCGAUCCUAUUUUGUUGGUUUCUAGGAUUGACGUA